rnacentral:rRNA from 1 species
AGAGGGUGCGAGCGUUGUCCGGAAUCACUGGGCGUAAAGGGCGCGUAGGCGGCUUGGUAAGUAGGGGGUGAAAUCUUGCGGCUCAACUGCAAGGCUGCCUCCUAGACUGUCAGGCUUGAGCACAGUAGAGGCAGGUGGAAUUCCCGGUGUAGCGGUGGAAUGCGUAGAGAUCGGGAAGAACAUCGGUGGCGAAGGCGGCCUGCUGGGCUGUUGCUGACGCUGAGGCGCGACAGCGUGGGGAGCAAACAGGAUUAGAUACCCUGGUAGUCCACGCCGUAAACGAUGGGUACUAGGCGUCGGGGGGAGCGACCCCUUCGGUGCCGUCGCUAACGCAGUAAGUACCCCGCCUGGGGAGUACGGCCGCAAGGCUGAA